rnacentral:sRNA from 1 species
UGUUUACAUGGACGAAUUUAUUGGUUGUUGUCGUUGAGUUGGACGGAAAUGAAUCAGAAGCUCUUGAUCUUGUGCCACUGGUUACAAACACUGUUUUAGAGGAGCAUCAACUAAUAGUUGGGGUUGUUGUUGUCGUGGAUCCAGGUGUUGUGCCUAUAAACAGCAGAGGAGAAAAGCAACGAAUGCAUUUACGUGAUGGAUUUUUAGCCGAUCAAUUGGAUCCAAUAUAUGUCGCAUACAACAUGUAAAUAUUGACCAGACAUAUUUUCUCGAAUCGUACACUUUAUGCGUUGGUUAUAAUGGUAUAUUCGUCUAAACCACAAAUCAUUUAUUAUAACAUAUAUGUAAACUUAUUUUAAGGUACAAUAAAACUAAUAUCCUUUGUAGUUUCAACAACGAUUA